CCUACGGGUGGCAGCAGUGGGGAAUAUUGGGCAAUGGAGGCAACUCUGACACAGCAACGCCGCGUGAAUGAUGAAGGUCUUCGGAUUGUAAAGGUCUGUGAGGGGGGAGGAACACAAUGACGGUACCCCAAUAGCAAGCCACGGCUAACGACGGGCCAGCAGCCGCGGUAAAACGUAGGUGGCAAGCGUUCUCCGGAAUGACUGGGCGUAAAGGGGGCGUAGGGGGUUUAGGAAGUUGGCGGUGUAAUUCCGGGGCUCAACCUCGGCGCUCCCGCCCAAACUAUUAGACUAGUGUGCAGGCGUGGUCACUGGCAUUCCUCGUGUCGCUGUGGUAUGCGUAGUUAUU
rnacentral:rRNA from 1 species